GGCUGAGGUGGUCCUGGGGAGGGGAAGGGGGUAGAGGAUGAAGGGAUGAAGAGCCCCAAACUCUUUCUGCAGGAGCUCUGACAGACUUGAGAAGCAGACAGGGUAGGUGGUUUGAAAUACUGAAAGAUGCUCCAAUGACCUCUAGGCAACUUCACAGAGUCUCUGGAGAAGGUGAAAGGAUUGGGGAGACGCAGGAAAGAAGCAUAGAGGACAAGAGGGAGAAGCAGCAAUCAUCAGGAUUUCCCAGCCUAUGGCAGUCAAUAUCAAUUCCUGGCGCCACCCUGUCCCACUGGGACCCCUGGGCCCUGGGGUCUCUACAGCCCCUGAGCCCUCCCCAGCCAGGCUUGCCUAACUCUGCCUCACUCUUUAGUACUUCACUAAGCACUGAAGUCUCUAAACCAGAAAAAGGGGGUGGGAAGGGGUGUUGGGAGGGGGGAGAAUAAAUCUAAUUGCCAUGAGAAUUUCUCAGUGUCUCUAGCACAUACACACCUGACAGGUUUGUUGGGGGGGGGGGGGGUUCUGGGGGUUUCUUGUUUGGGUGUUUUCUUUUUUGUUGUUGUUUUUUGGUAGUCGUGGUCAGACAAGUAAGAGGUGGGCUGUACUUAUGAUUGUGUAAUUGAGAGAGGGGUUGCUUUUUUUCUUUCUUUCUUUCUUUUUCUUCUUUUUCCAAAGAGCCUGUAAGCAAGUGAAGGGAGCCCAGGCAGAGGUUGCAGGGGGAGGGGGAAGAGGCGACAGAGGGGAAAGUGAGCGAUAGAGAUUUCACCCAGGACUGCAAAGCAAAGAACGCCCCCAGACGCGCCAAUGUCUGUCUGUCUCCAGAUGUUGGGAGAUAAAGAUUGGGAGCCGUUACCUUGGCCGGGGGGUCACAACUGCAGCAGGUUAAUCAGGUGAGUCGUCGGGGAGGGGUGGGUGAGGGAGAGAGAGAGAGAGAUGUUCAAGAAGCCCAGGCCGGUUUCUUUGGCUAUGAAAGUCUACAACCCCCACUCCACACACCCCCCCCUCACCCCUCCCCUCCCCUCUCCUCAUGCAGGAACAUUGCAAUCUCACACACGCCUCCUUUCACUGGGCUCCCGCGACCUUAGCAGGCGAGGGGGGUGCUGUCCGGCCCUCCGCCGCCAAGGACACGGCCCCCUGCUGUGCCCCCGCAGGUUCGGGGCCGGCCUGGCCCCCGGGGUCCGCGUCCCGAGCGGCUGUGCACUCACCAAGCCGGGCUGCGAGGGGCAGAGGGGCGCCCGCGGCUAGCCGGAGCGCAGAGGCGCCUCCCUUUUCUCUUGGUAGCGUCGGUCCGCACUCCCUGUGACCCGGGGCGUCAUGAUGCCUGUCUGUUUUCUCAAUGAUAACUUGGCAGAAGAAGAGAGAGGCUGCCACACUCUCCUCGGGUGGUUACGUGGUAUGUGCACGUUUCUGUUAGCAUGCGUUUCUCUCUCCUCUCUCUCCCUCGCUCUCUCUUUUUGUUUUUGUUAAAAAUAAAUAAAUCUCUCUCGCGCUAUAGUUGUUUUCUUUAAAAAAAAAAAAAAAGAAUAAAUUCCCAGGCACAGUCAUGAUUGGAUCGCAUUAUUGCGUUUGCAUAAUUGACGCCUCUGGGUGUGUGUCUAUAUUAUGUGAGUGUGUGUGUGUGAGUGUGGAUGUGUGUGUGUGUGUGGUGUGUGUGGAUGUGUGCGUGUGUUUUUUUCCCCCCCUUUAAAUCCUGCUGCUACCCCGCCGCCGCUGCUGCUGCAGCAGUCGCUGGAAAAGCAAAGCAAGCAUGCGUUCCUCUUUUGUCUUUCAUUUUACCUUCAGGGUGACAUUCAGUGCCAACUGCUCCCUUUUGACUGUCGCCAGUCCCCGCCUGGGCAAAAUAAAUUUGAAAAAUGUAGGGGGUGGAGGGUGGCGGGAGAGAAGAGAAGGAAAGGAAGAGACCCCCGCCUCAGCUUGAAUGCUAGGCUUUCCAUUCCUUGGAUUAUAAAAUACACCCCCACCCCACCAUCUACCCAACCCACCUCCCAACCCUGAAAAACCAUUUUCCCAUCUACCCACCGGGCCCAGGCAGAAAAUCGGCAGCAAGACAGCCAGGCGCUUCCACCCAGGGCCAAACACUCAUGCUCCUGGCUCGCCCUUGCUGACUAGCGGCUCUCAGUUGCAUCCCGGGUGCUGUAGGCCUCUUGCAACUGGAGCUAUUUUCGUCUCCCACUGAUUUUUUUUUUCCUUUAAGGCCUUUUGAAAAAAUGGGGAGGGGGCAGGGAAGAAAGAUAGGAAUAUGGAGAGAAAUCCAAGCCCAUAUUUAAGGGGGAGAGGGUUCUAUGGUCACAGAAGAUGAGUGGGGGAGGGGUGCCCCUGCAUCCACCCACCACCAGGGGAGUUGGGAAAGGGCAGAGAGGAUAACUAGUUUCUCUUUGAUUCAUUCAUUGGGCUACCAACCUCAGGAAAGAAACUUUUUUUUUUUAAUCCUAACACAAUACUGCUGAUUAUUUACUGUAUUUGUUCUUUUUAUAAGUAUGUUUUCUAGGCUGAGUAGAAUAGAUCUCAAGAAUAGUCCUUGAGGUUGUUUGGUUUUUUGGUGUGUGUUUUUCCUGAACACAUAGAAGGUAUUUAAGAUAGUGGGGUCACAAUGACAGGUAAAGUUCAGGUGGUUUCGUUUUACAUUUUCUUGGUGUUAUGUGUCUGCCGGUAUGGUUUAUAUAACUUCUCUUAAUCAUGGUAUGUUGUCUACCUUAUAUGUGCCCUGUAUAGGUUUUUGAACAAUAAAUACCUGGCACCAGGUUUGUCGAUACUUUGCAAUUGUGUAUCAAUAGUUACUCAUUUGAAGUGACAAAAUAGCCUAAAAGUGUUGUGGUUGUGGUGAUGGUGCUGUUUUUGUUGUUUUUUUGUUUUUUUGUCUCAAGCCUGGUUGACCUUGGGCACCAUCAUGUAUUGGUAAAGUCAAAUGUCCCCUACUGGUUUCAAAUUCCUAAAACAUGACAGCAGAAGCCUGGGUUGCAAAACAUAAAGCAGAGUGGAGAAUGUCCUAUCUGAGAAGCAAGGCAAACUGAAAGAAAACUUUUUAGCUCAUACAAGAUCAUCUCUGUAGCUGCAGGUUUAAAGGGAGUUUGUCUAUUUAUGAGGUCAACUAAGUUUAAUGAAAAAUAGUGAGUUACUUGUUGGGUCUUUUCCCUUUCGAGUCACAGUCCAAGAAUCACGAGCAAAAUCCCAUAGGGACAACACUGUAAUUAUGCAAAGGCCAGACAAUCAGAAUUGGAGAAGUGCCUGGCUGAAGUAGACUAAGAGGGUCAGAGGACUAUUGACUAAUGGCCAGGUCCCAAGACUUGAGCGCUGUCUCUCCACCCUUGACAAUUGGUCAUGGCUCCUCUGGCUCUGCUCCUCAGUCUCUCUGGAACCCUAGAAGGAUGAGCUGGUAUAUUCCUAUUGAUGUCUGGAGGUUAUGAGAGCCAGUGGUUCCAAGGAGGCAAGGGCCUAUUCAGAAUGCCAGGGGCAAACCAUCUCUAAAUGCUCUUGGUAACUUUCCAGUAACUAUCCAAGAGGUAUCCAUUAAUAUUCAGUCUGACUCUUCAGCUUUUUUAUUUAUUAACCUCAGAACUGGCCCCUGAACAAACUACAGGAAAGGUGGAUGGGCUGGGGUGAGGACAUAAAAUGUUGACUAACAGGACUGGUGCUGGUGGCUCACACUUGUAA